CCUUUCAGCUGACUUGUUAAGGGAUAAUUGGAAUGAUAGGUAGAAGAUUAGCAUGGUCCUUGCACAAGGAUGGUAUACAAAAUUUUUACAGAUAUGGCUUCUCA
rnacentral:snRNA from 1 species